rnacentral:lncRNA from 1 species
CUGUGAAUAAUUAAUUUGCUCGGGGUAAACAAUGCAUGUAAUGCAAUGAUCUAGAUGAGGAGCGAGUAAUUUUGCAAGUGCACUGAUGCAUGCUGUUGACAUAGGAGUAUGAUGGCCGGCCCCGGCCUAGGAAUCAGAGAAGUCUGCCAGCUGAGGCGUUGAGAUUAGUGCAUGCAAUGCAAGGGUGUUGCCGAGUUGGGAACAGGAAUGGUUGCUACAUUUGAGCCGGGGUACAUGCACACCUACCAUGUGAUGCAAAUGCAAUGCACCUACCAUGUUUCCAUUUCCUACUACCAUGCAUGGUUUUGAGGUCACAUGCAUGUUGAACAUGCAUUCUAGUCCUAGAUGUAGUGUGACUGCCAUUUGAGUAGGAUAAGAUUUACAUUUUCGAACAAUAGUAGGAUAAGCGUUAGUGUUUUUUUGAACAAGAGUAGGAUAAGUUUUACUUGAUAUAUUUGGGGGAUGCUUGCCAUUUUGAUUCUACAGGACCAUUUUCAGUACAUAUGCUUAUAUACGUACAUAGGAGCUGGAGUAAUGCUCUCAGCCAUGUGCACCAUGGCCAUAUUGUUUGUAGGACAAGGAAACCUUGGAAUUUUGUGGGUGAAAGUGAAAGACAACGGAGUCCUUACUACUACUCUGCAAGAGAAAGGAUUCAGAUUUGGCUCGUCUCUUUGUACGCAUGCAAACUUGUGGGGCCUGUCUAUAUGCACUAGCCUGCACUGGGCUCAAUGCAAGGCAGCGACCCUGCCUCGUGUUGACUACUGCACCAUUUUGCUCUAGAAAAGAAACAUUUUGUUAAGUUUGUGUGAUGUAUGAUUGGACUCCAGAAUUUGUUCUCUUGUGCCUGUCAUGCAUGCUCAUCUGAAUCAUAUACUAUCACUGCAUGCAAGAGAGAGUUUUGUCCCUUCCUACAGACCAAAAAGAUCACGGGUGUAUGGGCGCAAUGCAUGCAUGGGUUCAUCCGUUCAUGUACGAUGGUUAGCUAGUACUAGCUUCGUUCUUCAGAUGAGCUGUUCGCAGGUGAAGUAUCUAAUUAAGUACGUAGUGCUAACUACAAGGUAUGUAACAGGGUUAUACACACAGAUAUGUAUCUG